GCGUAAUAGCUCACUGGUCGAGAGGUCCUGCGCCGAAAAUGUCCGGGGCUGAAACACAACACCGAAGCUUAGGAACGAGAAAUCGUUGGUAGAGGAGCAUUCUUAAAGGGGCGAAGCAGUACCGACAAGGAGCUGUGGACUUUUAAGAAGAGAGAAUGCCGGAAUGAGUAGCGAGAUGGAGGUGGGAAUCCUCCAGGCCGAAUAUCCAAGGUUUCCAGAGUAAAGCUGAUCUGCUCUGGGUAAGUCGGGGCCUAAGGCGAGGCUGAAAAGCGUAGUCGAUGGACAACAGGUUGAGAUUCCUGUACCGCGUAUUAUCAGAACUGUGGGGACACAGAAGGACAGCACAUCCCGGGAAUGGGAAAACCGGGGCAAGCAGGGUAGGAGUCAGGCAGGAAAAACCGUCUGGCAAUCCGAAGCUGUGAAGCGGAGCGAAUGAAAGUAGCGAAGUGUGCGAUUCCAGCUGUCAAGAAAAGCCGCUAUUGUGUGAUACGUGCCCGUACCGUAAACCGACACAGGUAGAUGAGGAGAGAAUCCUAAGGCCGGCGGGAGAAGCAUUGUUAAGGAACUCGGCAAAAUGACCCUGUAACUUCGGGAUAAAGGGUGCCCACGAGAGUGGGCCGCAGAGAAUAGGCUCAAGCAACUGUUUAGCAAAAACACAGGUCUAUGCGAAACCGUAAGGUGAAGUAUAUGGGCUGACGCCUGCCCGGUGCUGGAAGGUUAAGAGGAGAGGUUAGCGCAAGCGAAGCUUUGAAUUUAAGCCCCAGUAAACGGCGGCCGUAACUAUAACGGUCCUAAGGUAGCGAAAUUCCUUGUCGGGUAAGUUCCGACCCGCACGAAAGGCGUAAUGAUUUGAGCGCUGUCUCGACAAUGCACCCGGUGAAAUUGAAAUACCAGUGAAGAUGCUGGUUACCUGCGCCAGGACGGAAAGACCCCAUGGAGCUUUACUCUAGCUUGAUACUGGGAUUCGGUACUGCAUGUACAGGAUAGGUGGGAGACUUUGAUGACAGGACGCCAGUCUUGUCGGAGUCGCUGUUGGGAUACCACCCUUGUGGUACUGGAUUUCUAACCAACCUCCGUGACCCGGAGGUGGGACAAUGUCAGGUGGGGAGUUUGACUGGGGCGGUCGCCUCCGAAAGGGUAUCGGAGGCGCUCAAAGGU
rnacentral:rRNA from 1 species